GAUUUGAUUUGAACAUGUACAAACUGUACGUAAGACAAUAGGAUCGUAAUAAUUAAACAACUGCAAAUUAUAAAUAACACAAUGCUCAUACGGCCAAGGGUAUUUUAGCUUGGGUUAUAUUUUUUUAUAAUCCAGGUCCUGUGGGUCACUGAGUUCUGUCUGAGUUUAACUGAGCACUCAGAAAAGUCAAGACCAGAAAUGUGAUUUCCCCCCUCUAACUGCUGCAUUUUUUUAAAAAUUGUAUUUAUAUUUUUCAUGUCUGUUACUUUUUCAUUGAAACUCCAAAGGUGUUAAUUAUUUAAUGUUGGUGGUAUGAUGUCAAAAUGACCACCUACAGCUCAUUUUUCUGUCAAUUGUAGCUGCAUGCCUGUCAUGGCACAUGUGAAAAAUAGGUGCCAGGUGUAGAACACACACUGCA